GACGAACGCUGGCGGCGUGCCUAAUACAUGCAAGUAGAACGCUGAAGAGAGGAGCUUGCUCUUCUUGGAUGAGUUGCGAACGGGUGAGUAACGCGUAGGUAACCUGCCUGGUAGCGGGGGAUAACUAUUGGAAACGAUAGCUAAUACCGCAUAAAAUGGAUUAUCGCAUGAUAAUCCAUUGAAAGGUGCAAAUGCAUCACUACCAGAUGGACCUGCGUUGUAUUAGCUAGUUGGUGGGGUAACGGCUCACCAAGGCGACGAUACAUAGCCGACCUGAGAGGGUGAUCGGCCACACUGGGACUGAGACACGGCCCAGACUCCUACGGGAGGCAGCAGUAGGGAAUCUUCGGCAAUGGACGGAAGUCUGACCGAGCAACGCCGCGUGAGUGAAGAAGGUUUUCGGAUCGUAAAGCUCUGUUGUAAGAGAAGAACGAGUGUGAGAGUGGAAAGUUCACACUGUGACGGUAUCUUACCAGAAAGAGACGGCUAACUACGUC
rnacentral:rRNA from 1 species